AGAAUCAACGCUGGCGGCGUGCCUAACACAUGCAAGUCGAACGCGAAAGUCCCGAAAGGGAUUAGUAGAGUGGCAAACGGGUGAGUAACACGUGGGUGACCUGCCUUCGAGUGGGGGAUAACGUCCCGAAAGGGACGCUAAUACCGCAUGACAUCCUGCUUUUUAAGAGGUGGAGAUCAAAGCUGGGGAUCGCAAGACCUGGCGCUUGAAGAGGGGCCCGCGCCUGAUUAGCUAGUUGGUGGGGUAACGGCUCACCAAGGCAACGAUCAGUA
rnacentral:rRNA from 1 species